rnacentral:rRNA from 1 species
AACGAACGCUGGCGGCAUGCCUAACACAUGCAAGUCGAACGAGAUCUUCGGGUCUAGUGGCGCACGGGUGCGUAACGCGUGGGAAUCUGCCCUUUGGUUCGGAAUAACAGUUGGAAACGACUGCUAAUACCGGAUGAUGACGAAAGUCCAAAGAUUUAUCGCCGGAGGAUGAGCCCGCGUAGGAUUAGCUAGUUGGUGUGGUAAAGGCGCACCAAGGCGACGAUCCUUAGCUGGUCUGAGAGGAUGAUCAGCCACACUGGGACUGAGACACGGCCCAGACUCCUACGGGAGGCAGCAGUGGGGAAUAUUGGACAAUGGGCGAAAGCCUGAUCCAGCAAUGCCGCGUGAGUGAUGAAGGCCUUAGGGUUGUAAAGCUCUUUUACCCGGGAUGAUAAUGACAGUGCCGGGAGAAUAAGCUCCGGCUAACUCCGUGCCAGCCGCCGCGGUAA